GGGGUUGUAGCUCAGUGGUAGAGUGCUUGCCUAGCAUGUAUGAGGUACUGGGUCCGGUUCUCAGCCCUA
rnacentral:tRNA from 1 species